rnacentral:RNase_P_RNA from 1 species
GAAGUUCGCCAGGCAGUCGCUGCGCACCUCGUCGUGCGUGGAGGAAAGUCCGGGCCCCGCAGAGCAGGAUGCCGGCUAACGGCCGGGCGCCGUGAGGCGACGGAAAGUGCAACAGAGAGCAGACCGCCGAUGGCCCGUGCAAACGGGAUCAGGUAAGGGUGAAAGGGUGUCGUGAACUGCGCAAGCAGGUCGCGAG